rnacentral:rRNA from 1 species
UACGUAGGUGGCAAGCGUUGUCCGGAAUUAUUGGGCGUAAAGCGCGCGCAGGCGGUCUUUUAAGUCUGAUGUGAAAUCCCACGGCUCAACCGUGGAAGGUCAUUGGAAACUGGGGGACUUGAGUACAGAAGAGGAAAGCGGAAUUCCAAGUGUAGCGGUGAAAUGCGUAGAGAUUUGGAGGAACACCAGUGGCGAAGGCGGCUUUCUGGUCUGUAACUGACGCUGAGGCGCGAAAGCGUGGGGAGCGAACAGG